GACGUCAAAGAAUUUGCUACAGCCACCCAACUUAAUCACUUUAAAACCAUUCAUGUUCCUAUGUCCACGUGACUUUCGUGCAAGGAUGUAUCAAGAAGCUUAGCUGAGAUUAUACCAUCUGUUGUAGCAAUUCACUUCUACAAGUUUUGUCCACAGAGAAGCUAUCCUGGGAAUUACAAGGCUAGUACCUCCAGUGCAGUGUUGAACAGAAGAGAUGAUGGGGACAUCUUUGUCUCAUUUCCAAUCUUGGGGGCAGCACGGGCCUUUCCCUUCCUGCCUCUGUGGGGCUCGGGGAAGUCACCACAUAGGAGAGCAGUGAGCCAUUUGAGACCUGAGCCUGGUCCUCAGGAAUUCGCUCUCUCCCUGCCAGCAGGAGGCCUGCCCCAGCCCUGCUCAGCCAUCUCCACCAUCUUCCUCUGACAGAAUGAAUGCCCUGGAUGGUGUCCCCUUCAAGGUGCCCAAGGGCUUUGUGAUAGGCACAGAGCCCCUCCCUGGGCCAGAGCUCAGUGUCCCAGACUGCAGGGAGCUUCUGCUGGGUUCUAUGUAUGACUUCAGCCUGGAGAGGAGGGCACUCUUCUGGGUGGAGGCUGUAGUCCGGGGACCCUGCCAGGUCCAGUGCGAUGCCCCGGGGGCAGCUUCAGCCCCUCCCGCCUGGCUCUUGCUGGUCAGCCCUGAGCAAGGGCUGGAGCCCAUACCUGCCGCAGCGGAAGGUCCUGAGGCUAGACCGCAGGAGCAUCCUGAGGAGGAAGAGGUGGAGGAGAAGGACCAGGAAGAGGAAGAAGCCUUCUCUGCCAUGGAGGAAGAGCCGGAUCCCUGCAGACCCCAGCCCAGCUCCUCGGCGAGCCCCAGCCUGAGCCAACACCGGUGCUCGCUGGAAGUGCUGCGCGGCGUGAGGUCGGAGCUGGCCGGGGCGCGGCGGCGGCUCUCUGAGUGCAGGCUGGCCGCCCGCCCCCGCAGUCUCCUGCACCGCAUCCGCCACCGAGCUCUGAGCCUCUGCCCUGGCACCACGUCACCCCUGGGCCCGGCACUCCCGCUCCCCAGCGCCCCAGUGCCACUCCCGGGCCCCGAGUCAUCGCUCCCCAGCACCCCUGCGCUGCCCCCGCGGCCCUCCACGGCUGGCGACGUGCCCCCGCUGCGGAGCCACAGGCCCGUGGUUGCGUCCCUCAGCCCGCAUACCUGCCUGCCACCUCCUGGGCAGGUGCCCCAGCCUCUCGCCACCCACAGAUUGCACCCUGAUUCUGCUGAUUUGCUGUCCGCCCUGAGCCAGGAGGAGCAAGACCUCAUCGGGCCAGUGGUCGCCCUGGGGUAUCCCUUGCACAGGGCUAUCAUGGCUCUACAGAAGACUGGGCGGCAGAGCCUGAGCCAGGUUCACAGCCCUUCUCCCUUUGAAAGACAAAUACCACAGUAAAUCGUUUUGAAAAGAGAUGAACCACGGAUGCUCCAGGAGGGGGGGCAUCAGGUGAUAGAGACAGGGCACUUGGAAGAAAGAAGGAGAGAGGAAGAGAUACAAAAGAUAAGCUUUGUCCAUCACUCCUUCCCUCCUUCCACAAGGAUCGAUGUGUCUACUGACUGCCUGCAGGACAGGUGUGGGUGGCAUGUGUGAGGGUCCAUAGGCUGGGCCGAGACUUGCCAUGGGGCUCUAGGCACAUCAGGUCCCCUCUUUGAGCCUCACUUUCCCCAUUCACAGAAUGGAGGGGAAUAUGUGUUUAUAAUCAAUAACUGCUGGAGGUCCCAUCCUGGAGUCUGAUGGUGACAUCCUCACCUACUGUGGGGGCUGAGAUAGGCCUGGUAACUGACCAAGAUAGAGAAUCCUUACAAAUGCAGAUUCUCAGGACCUACUCUGCAGAGUCCCAAUCAGUGGAUCUGGAGUGGGCCCAGGGCCCUAUCAUUUUAGAAGAUCUGCAGAUGGUUCUGAUAUGCAUGGUUCUGAUAUGCAGCCUGGCUUGGGUCUACUAGUGUGGACUGAGUCAGAGAUUCUCAACCUUGGCUGCACACAGGAAUCACCUGGAGAGCUGUAAAAGUCCCAGUGCCCAGGCUGCCCCCCUGACCAGUCAUAUCAGGGCCUCUGGAGGUGAGCAUCAGCAGUUUAUGGGUAGUGAUACUGAGGCACCAGUAGUUUUAAGGCUCCCAGGUAGCUACAGUCAGCACCAAGGCUGAGAACCUUUGCUGUCGAUGAACCAAGAGGUGAAGGGAGCAUCCCCCAUCUGCCCUGCCCUUGUUUUCACCUUCGGAAACCCUGUCUACUUUCAAGCCAGCUCAAAGCCCCUCCUCUAGCAGCUAGCCUCCCGAUGGACAAGGCACUGGCCAAGAGGUCAGGUGAUCUGAGCCCUAGUCCUGGGACCUGGGGCAAGCUGCCCGCCCUGCCUAGACUUCAGUUUUCCCAACUGUGCAAGGAGAGCUUGGUUGGGUGGUUUUCAAAAUGUGCCCAGAGCAGGGUCCCUGAGGUGGGGGCACUGGACUCUGGGCUCCCUCCACCUCCUGCCCACAGUUCUCCCAGAGCAGCUUCAACCUUACCCUGUUACUGUUGAAGCCCCCUGGUGCUUGGACAGUUCAGAAGCUAAAACAGUUUGAAAACCAUGAGUCUAUUACGAUCUGUGUUUUCUGCCCAGUUCUGAAGGUCUGCAGAAACCUGACCUGUUUCUCCUCCACUUAUACCCAUAAUUCUAAAUCCUGCUUUGAUCUGCCCGGCACUCAUGUUUUCCUGUAUCUGGUUUAUCGCCCCCACUGAGCUGUAAGCUCCCGGAAGGUAGUUCUUAAUUCAUUUUAUAAACACAGCAUACAUUUAUUGAGCUCCUUCUGCCUGCCUGCCAUGCUGGGUUCUAGGAACACAGUGGUGAACAAGACUGGCACAAGUCUUCCCUCAUGGAACAAAAAGUUAGCGGAUGAGAAAGACAGUAGAGCAAUUACAAAGCUGUAUGUGAGGGGAAGCAUGGGGUGCUGUGGGAGCACCUGGUGGAGAUGGGGGGUGGGGAGAGGCUCCCCAGGGAAGAGGAGUGAGGCUGGCCUUGGCCUUGGAACUGGAUGUGCAGGAGUCUGGGGGUGCUGAGGGAGCAGCUGGGCUGCUGACAGAGGUAAGCUGGCCACUGAAGCUGGGUUGGGAGGCAGCACUUUAUCCUGAGGGCAGAAGUAGCCCCUGAUGACUAAGCAGAGAGUGGCUGGAAGAGAUGUUCUGCCCUGUGGGUCCUCCACUGUCCCCUCCCCUUUCCAGCGCUGGUGCAGGACUGUUGCAGAGAGUGGGGCCCACGGGGUCCUGGAUGGCAAAGAUGUUAUGUGUCUGGCGGUGGGUGGGGUGCACAGCUGUGGGUGGGAGAGGAGGUUGUUUUCUCACAGGUGGGUGCGCACCAGGGAGGGUAAGCAUCCUGGGUGGGUGGUGGGUAGAUACCCGUGUUUGAGCCCUGGCCUAUUCCCCACUUAGGUUCUGGGAACACCUUAGCCCAUCCUGACAGCCCUCUUCCUGGUUUCCAGCCCCCAGCUUGGGACAGUUGGUGAGGCUUUGCUGUCCACCUGUCCCCAGGGGAGGCCUCUGACCCUCUUCUGUUGGCUCAUGGGUCUCUGGGGCCACGUUGUGUGUGGCAGGUUGCCCAGUCAGCCUGGCCCUGAGCUCAGCCUUAACGAGGCCCUUGGGUGCCUCCUCCACCCCAUCUGCUGCCCCUGCCACCCCUCUUAACCUCCUUCCCUCUGUGCCCCUUUCCUGCCCAGUUUCUCAGCUACCUUAGCGCCUGUGACCGGCUAUUGCGACAGGGCUACGAGGAAGGCCUGGUGGAUGAGGCCAUGGAGAUGUUCCAGUUCUCCGAGAGCCAGGCAGGGGAGUUCCUGCGCCUCU